UCAGCGAUUGCUCCAAUAAAAUCUGAGCAUGUUAUAUCAGAGCGUAAGCCGUCUUUUGUGGAAGGCACGGGGAGAGAGAGAGAUGUGGGGGUCUGUUUGAUAUUACUCAACAUCUCAAUGCAGUCUGAGGGGUGUAGUAGUUUUGCCAUGAAAUUGGCCUAUUGGAUACAUUGAUGGGUAUAAAAUAUUCAGGAGCCAAGUCUUGGCAAAAGACAGCAUUGAUCGUGUCUUACAAGAUGUAUAGCUGGGCAUUAUGGUUUAUUCAUUAGCAAACCUUAAGUUGGUCUCCUCCAAGAUCCCUUCAGCCUAACGCUACACCCUGCUGUAGCGUGGCGUAAACACAUCUGACAGUGCCCGUUGCGCGUGCUGUCAAUUUAAACGCAUGCCAAUGGGUGCAUCCUGAAAUGAAGGGCCAUUAAAGGAAACAGUAUACUGUAUUAUUCUC